rnacentral:rRNA from 1 species
UACGGAGGGUGCAAGCGUUGUCCGGAUUUAUUGGGUUUAAAGGGUACGUAGGCGGUCUUUUAAGUCCGUGGUGAAAGCCCACCGCUCAACGGUGGAAAUGCCAUGGAUACUGGAAGACUUGAGUGUCGUAGAGGUAAGCGGAAUUGAUGAUGUAGCGGUGAAAUGCAUAGAUAUCAUCAAGAACACCAAUAGUGAAGACAGCUUACUGGACGAUAACUGACGCUGAGGUACGAAAGCGUGGGUAGCGAACAGG